rnacentral:rRNA from 1 species
UGUACACACCGCCCGUCGCUUCUACCGAUUGGUCGUCCCGGUGAAUGAUCGGGAGGGCGCGCCGUGGACCAGCAAUGGUUCCGGCGCGUUCGAACUUUUGUAAAUUUGGACGACUAGAGGAAGAAGAAGUCGUAACAAGGUUUCCGUAGGUGAACCUGC